GACGGAGGGUGCAAGCGUUGUCCGGAAUCAUUGGGCGUAAAGCGCGUGUAGGCGGUUCGGUAAGUCCGCUGUGAAAGUCGGGGGCUCAACCCUCGGAUGCCGGUGGAUACUGUCGAGCUUGAGUACGGAAGAGGCGAGUGGAAUUCCUGGUGUAGCGGUGAAAUGCGCAGAUAUCAGGAGGAACACCAAUUGCGAAGGCAGCUCGCUGGGACGUUACUGACGCUGAGACGCGAAAGCGUGGGGAGCAAACAGG
rnacentral:rRNA from 1 species